rnacentral:rRNA from 1 species
AACGAACGCUGGCGGCAGGCUUAACACAUGCAAGUCGAACGCAUCCUUCGGGGUGAGUGGCAGACGGGUGAGUAACGCGUGGGAACGUGCCCUUCAGUUCGGGAUAACCCAGGGAAACUUGGGCUAAUACCGGAUACGUGCGAGAGCAGAAAGAUUUAUCGCUGAAGGAUCGGCCCGCGUCUGAUUAGCUAGUUGGUGGGGUAAUGGCCCACCAAGGCGACGAUCAGUAGCUGGUCUGAGAGGAUGAACAGCCACAUUGGGACUGAGACACGGCCCAAACUCCUACGGGAGGCAGCAGUGGGGAAUAUUGGACAAUGGGCGCAAGCCUGAUCCAGCCAUGCCGCGUGAGUGAUGAAGGCCUUAGGGUUGUAAAGCUCUUUCGUCCGGGACGAUAACGACGGUACCGGAAGAAGAAGCCCCGGCUAACUUCGUGCCAGCAGCCGCUGUAA